ACUUUGCCCAUGCGAACGCCCUCCUUGAGCUCUUUCCUUCGUCCUAGACCUUGCCGCAGAUAAGGUCUGGGCCUGCCCUUCUCCGUUCACAAUUCUCUUUCCCAUCCGCUGAGGACGGUUCAGAUCACUUCGCCGCUGAACAAAACGGCAGGGAAAUAACCCCUUCAUUUCUUCCCCGAUUUCUCCGCGACACAGAACGGCGGCGGCCUCGGAGGCGAUGCACUCCCGGCGUCCUGGCGGCGCGGCGGCUGCGCUCUCGCCGGAGCAGCGUGCCAGGGUCUCAGUCCCGCGCGCUCCUCCGUCGAGCGUGGCCACUCGCAUGCCCCGCGCUCAAGGCGUCCAUUUGAUGGGGCGGUGCGGUGGCUGGACCGGCUCGCCGGCGUUUCUUUCCACGCACCGGAACGGCGGUGUAGCGGCGGCAGCGCCCUCACACGCUAGAGCGGAGGGCGUUUGCCUUGCGGAACCGUCCACGGAAGGCGUCGUCGCGGCCCUUUAAUGGCGGCGGCUGGCAGCGGGCGAGAUGAGGGGUUGACGGCGGCAUGCGCGGCGGGAGGGCACGAGUGCCUACGUCCUUAAUUUAUUCGCCCCUCCAGAUCGUAAGCCUCAAAUCCCCUCUUUAGUGUGUUCAGCAUAUUUGGGGAUUUAGGUUCAUCACAAUUUGGGGAUUUUUCAUUCGAAUUCUAUAAAUUGCUACGGCCCACCCGAAGGCAAUGUUCGACGCUCUCGGGGAGCUCCUCAUCGGCGUGCGCCGUGUCUACGGCAGGGAGCACUGCCUCGAGGUAAACAGAGCUCUUCCCAGCCUAGAUUCCGCUUUGCCUGUCCCAAUUUCGUCGAUCACCGUUCGAUUUGGUGACGUGUUCCACCAGGACGGUAGGGCUCGGCUGCUAUGAGCUCUUGGCUGUUACAUUUUGCAUCUCUUGGCUGUGCCAUGCCAUCCGUUUUAUGUAUUAGACGCUCAAUCUUCAAUUGUCCGAUCAAUUUUGAUAACUUGGUGAACUAUGAUUUUUCUGCUCGUUGUUACUUUUCGGUAAAUACAGUAUGUAUUGCAAUUCAUGCUGGCUCCAAUUCAUGAUGGGAGUCGCACCAACAGGACAAUUAGUUGCUCCAAGAAACUGGUGUGCUCAUACCAUUAGCCCACCCUCAUCUCCUUGCUGCUACGUGUGCCCACGCUCACACGAUAGGGUCGUGCGUGCAGCUGUCAAGGAGACGCCGCCAAGCAAGCACUGCCACUUGAAGGUACCCAUCUACAUUCAUUCCCCCCCUUCUACCAUCUUCAGAGAUAGCUCCCUGGCUGUUGAUUAAAUAAUUAAUAUCAAACAUAUGAUUCAAUAACAUUGGUGAAAAAAUGCACUUUCGGUGAGAUCGCAUGUUUAUUGUUUAGACCGUGCAUGUAAAAGAGUUUCUGUAGAGAUGUUUCGUUCGUUGUCCUCCAUCUCUGUUGUCGGGUAAGGAUUAAUUUGAUCAAUUCCUUGUUGUAGUCUGAAGCUUUUGCUUGCUUUUGUUCAGUCACAUACUUCAGUUCCGCAAGUUUCUUUCACUAGAGGUUUGAACUUUAGGAUACCUGACUCUCGUGCUGGUAUGACUGGUCGUUGCUAUAACUUUGGAGCAUAUCAGUAUGAUGAUAUGAGUUUUAAGUAAUAUUGCUUCAAGAACUUAGAACAGCUGGUCAGUACAGUCAACCUAUCAAUAUCAAUUUGUGUAGUUUGUAGCCCGCUCAAAAUUUUUUUUUUGUGUAGUUUGUAGUGUUCAGCUUCAGGAAGUUAAUAAUCACUUUCUUAUCAAUUAUUACCCAAUAGCUGCUGAUUAUUUGUUCACUGUUUCUAUAACCCUAUGGUUUCAAUAAUGAAAUCAGUGAUCAACUCCAAUUUGUGACAUCAGUAGGGUUACAAAAGCUUCCCUUAUUAUGAAGAGUUUUCCUCGUAGUUGGUUCUCAUAAGUGGUAACGUAAGUGUUGAUGUGCCCUUAAAAUUAGAUUCAUUGCCCAAAUUUUAUCCCAUUUUUACUUUACUUCAUUAUUGGUUCCGAUCGUUUGACACCUUUCUUGUCAUUGUGCCCUCUAAAUUAGAAGCGUUGCCCAAACUACCCCCUUAUAAUGCUUCAGAUAUGCAGUGUUAAUAUAUUGAUAAUUGCUUUGGUUUCUUUCAUGACAAAGAACCUUUUGCAAGAUACAUCUGCCUCCAAGGUUCCAUUUUGCUAAAGGAAAAGAAGAUCAUUGGCUCAUUGCCUUGCCCCUUAGUACCAGCCUCGAUAGUAUAAAUCAUAAGUAUUCAGGGUUCAUGUUGGAAUGAUUAUAUGACUUGUACCAGUGAUGAAUGUACAUGAAAAAGCAAAGACAUGCUGCCUCGAGUACUCCAAUUGGUCUCUUAACACUUGAGGCAUCCAGUAGUACAUAUGUAAAUUAUGCAUCCUCAGGAGAUGAAGAUGUGCUGAACCAAGUUGCUGCAAUGUUUCGUACUCAUAGCACCCUCAGUUGGUAGACAUGUUGUAACAAGAAGAAAGCUUAGGGGGUAGUGUUGAAUCCACUAAUAUGUACACACGAGAAAGCUUAGAGGGCAGUACCUGCUCAUUGAUUUACCAUGUUCCGCAUCUGAAGAAUUUCUUUAUGGCACUAAUGGUUGAAUGCGCUAUUUUUGUGUGCGUUCCUGCUUCUCAGUGAUCGUUCAUAUUUUCAGUGUUUUGGUUGAAAUAGAGAUGCUAUAAAGGUUGUUUUCACUUUGUCAAGUAAAAUAUCUCCAGGCGUGGUAUUCACCUAUUCGCUGAUGAGGUAUGCAACUACUUCAAUAGAUUUUACUAUCUUCAGUGACUUAUUUCUUUUCUUUUUUACAGUGUCUUGUGCUAACAUUUGACAUUAUUAGCAGACUGACAAUUUGCUAGGACAGAUAGAAAGAUAAUCACAGGCUACAGAAGCAAUCAAGGAGCAUCGUCGAGAAAGAUCAACAGCAACCUUCGUGAGUAUCUCCAUGGAUCCAAAAGCUCAGGAUCAUUAGCGUGGACUGCAGUUGGGGCCUUUUGAAAAUUAAUCUUCUGAGCGAAGGACACCAGAUGAUGCACUUUUAAAAAAGUUCAACUGGAAUAUUUUGUGCUGGCAUUAUUCGCAACCAAUACAAGAAGCAAAAAGAAGUGCACACCUAGGGAACGAAGACGUGAACCGUGGCUCUUACCGGUAAAGACGCAAUGUAUAUUGUGCAUUUGUGUGCAUGGAUGAGAACAAGUGCAUUUUUUUUUCUCAAUGCACUUCUUGCUGUAAUAGGCCAUUUUAGUGCUACUGUAAUUCUAUCUCAAAUCGAUAUGAGCUCGCUAUGGGAGUCUAUUUGUUACUUUU